CACUGAACAAAAGUUGUUGCAAUAUAGCGUAUGAUUUGUCAUAUGAAUAACCCAAAAGCUCAACGUUGACGAUUUCGAAAGGCGAUCAUUCGAAAAAAUAAUGACUUGAAAAUCGAAUGACAUCAUGUCUGUAUUGGAAUGAAGAGGCUCGUGAUUUUCAAAUGAGUAACAAAACGUCAAAUGAAUUGCUUGCAUUCGAAAAAGGUAAACGAUGAUGCCUAUGAUUAUCAUCUCAAAAACCAGCAGUGUAUCAUUCGUGUUUCAUCAUUGUUUAGUAUUUGGGCUGAAUCAAAUGAGAAUACAUAUAAUUUUCACUGGAACGCCUAAUGAUUUUCAUACAGCUGUCAGAAAUAUGAAAAAUUAAUAAUCAAACAAAAUAAAAUGGCGAUCAACUACUGAUGCAUCUGCUUAUGUGAGAAUUUACUAACAUAUAAAUAUUUUAUUAAAAAUGUAAAAUAACAAUCUUUCGAAACAUAAAAGCGGUCACCUUUUUUUAUUUGUACAAUGUGGACGUCAACAAACUGCUUGAUAUUUAUUGAGUAAACAACGAACGUCAAUAUUAGCAUUCUGCUGCGACGCUAAUGAAACUACUAGAAUGCAGAAAAAAUAAUCUGGAACCACAAGACAAGGCGUCCUUGGAGCAAACACCAAAAUCCAGCCCAUUCCCCAUCGGUUGCCAUAACAGCGAAGACGAAUUUAUGUACAUAUCCGGCAAAUUAGAGCAAGUCUACAUCGAUGUAACAUCCGUAAGUUAUUGGAGAGACUGGUACCGCCAACUUACGCAAAAACGAACGCGCAGGCGUGGUUAGCCUACGGCAUACUUUCCCACCAAGCAGGGUAUCCACGGUACCAACAAAUGAUCACGUAUAAUCCUGUGGGGCGAUAAAAUUUACGGCAAGAAACAUUUCUUGUUUCAUGGAGAACAAAUAAAAUCUGUUAGAAUCCAAUUUAAGCAUUAACAGCGUACACGUGUCACUAUUGAUGAGUCAUUGGUUCGAAUGGAAACUAUCUGACGAAAGUGACGGUAGUUUAUCGAUCUCCUUCGAAGUCGUAUACCAACAUAAAGGCUGCCACCAUGAACCACCCAUUGAAGCUCUCAAUUUAAGUGAAUGUGAUGACGUUGAUAGAAAAACCUUCGUUUUCGAUUGAUGAAAGAUGGUUAUGGUAAGGUUUUGCAUUAUCAGUGGAAUUCAUAGAAAAUCUUUACGGAACACCGGAAGCUUCUGAAAUCUUCCAAGUAGCCCUGAUGGCUGGAUGUUGGCUGGAAGUAACGAGAUGACGUGACGGUAACCGUAAAAAGCAUGCAAGUAGCACAUCAAAGAGCAACAACACUUCGAGUUCUCCAAUCGGACAUUUUGAUUUGCACAUGAAACCAGAUCUGGUUGGAAAACCCGAUAGCUCGUCAUCACCGUAGUUCCCAAACUUAGUAGACUGCGUAACGCAGCGACUUGACUGAGUUCGGUUAUAAUUGCAGUUUCUGUGAGUUGACUCAUUUCAAUCAAAGAUGCAGUGGAAUGCAAUUGCGGUUCUAAUCUUGGUACCCUUACUACUAAAAAUACGAUAUUCUAAAAGUGAAACUAACGACAAAAUUCCAGCAGAUGAAUUCAUUCGAUUAACACUGCUGCUGUGAAUCGUAAAGAGCAUGAUAGUGGACGUACCCGAUUGAGUUUUUUCUAUUUAUGCAGUCUCUAGGGUAGCAGAAUACGAGCAUUAUAUUAAGUGGGACGACAAACGCUUCUUGGUCAAAUUGAGAAAAAAUGCAAAACCAGAGUUGGGAUCUCAUUCCACUUCAAAUUCAGGACUUUGAAAAGCAACAGGCAUUAACAAUGCCUGUCCCAGCUAAAUACCAGAUUGCAAAGAUCUGCGGAAUAGUGAAAGGAGAGAUGGAAGAAUCUGGCUGAAAUGAAAUGUUGACGAUAGUUUACGGUCUUAAUUUUCAGAUGAAUAACGUCAGUACGUUCAAGGAUUCAACUAGAAAUGAUGAAAUUACUCACUAUGUAUAAAGAGUUUGGUCAAACGGCAGCAGAACGCAGAAAUUUAUUUCCAUGGAUAUCAAACGGGAGAUGGAUUUUGAUUUAUCCAAAGGCUUCAACUUUAAAGCAAGAUUUACACUUCGAGAAACUCGAUCUCUUGAUCUAAAUUAAAGAAACCGUCACGGAUUAAAAUAAAUAAUCCCCAAGCCACAAUAUCGCAGAGAACGAACGUGUUGUUGAACGGCACACCGAAGCAAAGCAGCACCUUAAUUUUUUUUUGAUAACUUCACUGCACUGCAAAAAAGGGUAGAGCUAGGGGCAGAGUAUAUAUUUCAUCAGCAGUGUGAUGUUUAUUAUCUAAUACUAUUAUAGAUAUAGAUAAAUAUAGAUAUUUUAGAUUUAGAUUAGAUUUGACUGAUUAUAAAGUUCCAUUUGUAAUGUACCACAUGGCAGGAAUAUAUAAACAUAGGUUUCCUAAUUUCCUCUGUGACUAAAAUGAAGUAAAAUAAAAUGUUUC